CACAUGAAAGACAAGCAUCUGUCGUCUUUGUGACGCAAUACACUUGACAUAUAAGUCAUUAUACGCCGUACAUAAUACAUCCGUAUUUCGUUUCUUUCAAUAUUCACAAGAGUCGAUCGAUCGAAGUUUCAAACUUGUCUGAAUUUCUACAAAAUUAAACUGUAUAUUACAGGAGAAAAGCUUGAGAAUGGUUCCUGAAAAAUUAUCGAUGGCAAGACAAUUAUCACUAAACUGGUCAGCUCCGGUGGAAA